AGUAAUACAUCGGAACGUGUCUUCUAGUGGGGGAUAACUGCCCGAAAGGGCAGCUAAUACCGCAUGAGACCUGAGGGUGGAAAGCGGGGGAUCGCAAGACCUCGCGCUGGAAGAGCGGCCGAUGUCCGAUUAGCUAGUUGGUGAGGUAAAGGCUCACCAAGGCGACGAUCGGUAGCUGGUCUGAGAGGACGACCAGCCACACUGGGACUGAGACACGGCCCAG
rnacentral:rRNA from 1 species